ACGGAAGGCAGCAGUGGGGAAUGUUGGGCAAUGGGCGCAAGCCUGACCCAGCAACGCCGCGUGAAGGAAGAGGGUUUUCGGAUUGUAAACUUCUGUCCUUGGUGACGAAAUAAAUGACGGUAGCCAAGGAGGAAGCCCCGGCUAACUACGUGCCAGCAGCCGCGGUAAUACGUAGGGGGCAAGCGUUGUCCGGAAUGACUGGGCGUAAAGGGCGUGUAGGCGGUUUUUUAAGUCUGGAGUGAAAGUCCUGCUUUCAAGGUGGGAAUUGCUUUGGAGACUGGAAGACUUGAGUGCGGAAGAGGUAAGUGGAAUUCCCAGUGUAGCGGUGAAAUGCGUAGAGAUUGGGAGGAACACCAGUGGCGAAGGCGACUUACUGGGCCGUAACUGACGCUGAGGCGCGAAAGCGUGGGGAGCGAACAGGAUUAGAUACCCUGGUA
rnacentral:rRNA from 1 species